UGUCCCCUGUAAGAUCGCUGUUUACACGGAGAACAUCGGCCUUCCACCGGGGAGCUGGUUACAGUAAGAGAAUUCCCGAACGGCUCAGAAGUCCCUCCUCCAAAAGAGCGCCUGGAAGGGCUGCGCAGGUGCAGGAGCUUUUCCGAAUGUUGCCAGUAAAGAGAUGAAAAGAUAAGUGCUCAUAUAUGCUGCAGUAGGACUACAUGGAAGGAGAUAUAUCUAUCAAGAAGACAGAAGACUUACUUUCAUCAUCUGAAUCAAAUCCAAAGAGUGUCUGACAUUUCUUUUGUGCAAGUUUUUGGCCAGGGCUGGGUUUGAACCCACCACCUCCGGCAUAUGGAGCCAGCGCCCUACCCCUUUGAGCCACAGGUGCCACCUGGUUUUAUUGAUUUUCAAUUAGCAAAAAUGCUGUAUAUUUUUCACACAGAUUGCUAUUAAACUAGUUUUCCUACAUCCCAUAAUUUUAUAGCUGUUUUUUGUACAAUAACUAUACAUUAAU